UACGUAGGGAGCAAGCGUUGUCCGGAAUCAUUGGGCGUAAAGCGCGCGUAGGUGGCUUCGUAAGUCCGUUGUGAAAGUCAAAGGCUCAACCUUUGAAAGCCGAUGGAUACUGCGGAGCUAGAGUACGGAAGAGGCGAGUGGAAUUCCUGGUGUAGCGGUGGAAUGCGCAGAUAUCAGGAGGAACACCAAUAGCGAAGGCAGCUCGCUGGGACGUUACUGACACUGAGGCGCGAAAGCGUGGGGAGGCGAACAGGAUU
rnacentral:rRNA from 1 species